rfam:Schistosoma haematobium scaffold229_13, whole genome shotgun sequence.
AACCUUCUCAAUCCGUGUAGAGAUUUCGUCAAACACCAGACCACCAGUACUGAUGAGACUCGGUAGGAUACGGGAAUAU